AUGAUGACCUUGCUUCUUCAUUUGUCUCUUCCUGUUCCUUUCUGUGUCAGCAGCUCUGCUCUCCAGCUGAGGAAUGGGGUACUUCUGCCUGUGGCCAUUCCUAGAAAUCCAGAGAUGGCUUCAGGGUGGAGAGAAGAACAGACCAGCCACUUCGUAUCUGUGCACAAAAACAGGGAUGAUCCUCACCCAUCUCCUUACCAUCUCCUCUCUUCCUGGCAGCAGACAGGCUUGGCUUGGCAGGAUCACAAACCCAGGGUGGACCUGUUGGGAGGUUCCAGAAUAAAGUUCAGUCCCAAACCAACACCAGACUUGAUGUCAGAUAUCAAGAUAGUGCUGCUGAGAAACAAGAGACUACCUCUUCCCCACUGCCCCCAGGAAUCCUAAGAGAAGUCAAGACGUGGAAAUGAGGGAGCAAAGCUAUGCUUGAAGAAUCAAAUGGUCAUUGGGUAAGUACCUACAGUGGAAAGAUAAGAUGAUUAAAUCUAGAUUCUUAAAUCGAGAAAGUGCCUUAGAGGUCAUUCAGUUCAACCACCUUAUUUAAAAAAUGAAGAAAUUAAUGGCCAAAAAGAGGAACUGAUUUGCCUAAAAUCACACACAGAGAUCACACAGUUAAUGACAAAUCUGGGACUAAAAUCCAGGUUUUCUGACUCUGAAUUGUGUCCAUUUUUUUUAAUUGAUGGAUGUCAUCAUUUUUUUUAUCUGUGUUACUUCCCAAUGACUACUGCUCCUCUAUCACCAAAGAGAAUCCUCCAUUGUAACAAAGACAUAUAAUUAAACAAAACAAAUCAAGACAUUGUCUAUGCUUAACAACGUAUGCCUCAUUUUGUACUUAUAGGCCACCAUCUUUCUGCAGAGAAGAGAAAAGAAUGCUCCAUUUUUCAGUCCUCUGAAGUCACAGUUGGGUCAUUGCAGUGAUCAGAGUCUGGAUAUGUUUCAACAUUGUUUUCCUUGAGUUCAUUGUGGUCUUGGGGUAGAUUGCUGCUCCCAGUUCAUCAGUUCAUACAAGUCUCCACAAAUUUUUCUGAAUUCUUCAUUUUUAUAAUUGUCUUUUUUUUUAUUUUGUCUGAGCCUAUGAUUUUCAUUGGUAAAAGGAAUUCCCAGGGAAGAAACUCCCUGUACCAAUAAGGGUGAGCAAGUCUUCUGCAGUUUCUUGUCCUAGAGAUUUGCCUAGGGCACUGAGAAGUUAUAUGGCUUACCCAGGAUCAAACAACCUGAGUGCCUUAAAAAUAACUGGGCUGUCCUAACUCUGAGGCCAGUCCUCUAAUCACUACACCAUGCUCCUGCCACUCCACACUGUUUGUUUCGUAAGGUACAAUAAUAUUACAUUGCAUUUAUAUACCACAAUUUGGCAAUUCCCUAGUUGGCACUUACUUCAUUUCCAGUUCUGUGCUAUCAUAAAAGGUGCCACUAUAAAUAUUUUUGUAUAUAUGGGACCUUUUCUCUCUCUCCUUGACUUCCUUGGGAUAUGUCCGGUAGUGAUAUAAUAGUUCAAAGGGUAUGUACAGUUCAGUGACUUUUUUUUUUUCUUCAGGCAUUUGGGGUUAAGUGACUUUAGUGACUUUUCUAUUGCAGUUGAAAAUUGUUUUCCAGAAAAGGCCGAAAUGGUUACUAGUUCCACCAAACAGUACAUUAGUGUCUCUGUCUUUCUACAACUCCUGACACUUCCAGUGGUCUUUCUCUAGCAUAUAUUUCUAAUAUAGGCUAAGAUUUCUUCUGAGCCCUCUAUAGAAAGCUCCUAGAGCAGGGUAUCUGAACCUUUUCAAUAUCAUAGACCCCUUUAUCAGUCUGGUGAAGCCCAUGGACCCCUUCUCUUGAUAAUAUUUUUAAAUGCAUCAAAUAAAAUAUAUAGGAUUACAAAGGAAAUCA
rnacentral:lncRNA from 1 species